CUCCUACGGGAGGCAGCAGUGAGGAAUAUUGGACAAUGGGCGCAAGCCUGAUCCAGCCAUGCCGCGUGCAGGAUGACGGUCCUAUGGAUUGUAAACUGCUUUUAUACAGGAAGAAACACUCCUUCGUGAAGGAGCUUGACGGUACUGUAAGAAUAAGGAUCGGCUAACUCCGUGCCAG
rnacentral:rRNA from 1 species